rnacentral:rRNA from 1 species
UACGUAGGGUGCGAGCGUUGUCCGGAAUUAUUGGGCGUAAAGAGCUCGUAGGCGGUGUGUCGCGUCGGCCGUGAAAACCUGCAGCUUAACUGUGGGCUUGCGGUCGAUACGGGCAUCACUGGAGUUCGGCAGGGGAGACUGGAAUUCCUGGUGUAGCGGUGAAAUGCGCAGAUAUCAGGAGGAACACCGGUGGCGAAGGCGGGUCUCUGGGCCGAUACUGACGCUGAGGAGCGAAAGCGUGAGGAGCGAACAGG